GAAGUAAAAGUCGUAACAAGGUCUCCGUUGGUGAACCAGCGGAGGGAUCAUUACAGAGUUUUCCAAACUCCCAAAACCCAUGUGAACAUACCAUACGUUGCCUCGGCAGGGCCGCGCCCGGAGAGAAGAACUACCCCGCGCUUCCGCGGUGCGGGGUAUUCUCUUAGGGCGGUUGGUUCUGCCGGCGGCCCACCAAACUCAGUUCUUGCAGUGAAAUUCUGAAUUAUAAACCAAAAAAAGUUAAAACUUUCAACAACGGAUCUCUUGGUUCUGGCAUCGAUGAAGAACGCAGCGAAAUGCGAUAAGUAAUGUGAAUUGCAGAAUUCAGUGAAUCAUCGAAUCUUUGAACGCACAUUGCGCCCAUUAGUAUUCUAGUGGGCAUGCCUGUUCGAGCGUCAUUUCAACCCUUAAGCCCCUGUUGCUUAGCGUUGGGAGCCUGCUGGAAGCUUUUUUCCCCUACAGCUCCCCAAAGAUAGUGGCGGAGUCGGUCUCACAACUCUAGACGUAGUAGAACAUUUCGUCUCGUCUGUAGUUGGGGCCGGUUCCCUGCCGUAAAACCCACCAAUUCUUUACAAGGUUGACCUCGGAUCAGGUAGGAAUACCCGCUGAACUUAAGCAUAUCAAUAAGCGGAGGAAAAGAAACCAACAGGGAUUGCCCUAGUAACGGCGAGUGAAGCGGCAACAGCUCAAAUUUGAAAUCUGGCCCUCGGGUCCGAGUUGUAAUUUGCAGAGGAUGCUUUUGGCGAGGUGCCUUCCGAGUUCCCUGGAACGGGACGCCUUAGAGGGUGAGAGCCCCGUACGGUUGGACGCCGAGCCUCUGUAAAGCUCCUUCGACGAGUCGAGUAGUUUGGGAAUGCUGCUCUAAAUGGGAGGUAAAUUUCUUCUAAAGCUAAAUACCGGCCAGAGACCGAUAGCGCACAAGUAGAGUGAUCGAAAGAUGAAAAGCACUUUGAAAAGAGGGUUAAACAGCACGUGAAAUUGUUGAAAGGGAAGCGUUUGCGACCAGACCUUGUCCCGGCGGAUCAUCCGGUGUUCUCACCGGUGCACUUCGCCGGGUUAAGGCCAGCAUCGGUUUCCGCGGGGGGAUAAAAGCAGGGGGAACGUGGCUUCCUCGGAAGUGUUAUAGCCCUCUGCAUAAUACCCUCGUGGGGACCGAGGACCGCGCUUCGGCAAGGAUGCUGGCGUAAUGGUCGUCAACGACCCGUCUUGAAACACGGACCAAGGAGUCGAACAUUUGUGCGAGUGUUUGGGUGUCAAACCCUCACGCGUAAUGAAAGUGAACGGAGGUGAGAGCCCUCGGGUGCAUCAUCGACCGAUCCUGAUGUCUUCGGAUGGAUUUGAGUAGGAGCAUAACUGUUCGGACCCGAAAGAUGGUGAACUAUGCGUGGAUAGGGUGAAGCCAGAGGAAACUCUGGUGGAGGCUCGCAGCGGUUCUGACGUGCAAAUCGAUCGUCAAAUCUGCGCAU
rnacentral:misc_RNA from 1 species